GGGACCUAUAGAUAAUUUUUUCUAUUUAAAUUGAGUCAUUGCACUUCUUCAUUUCUAUUCUUGUUUGGAUGUUCAAACUUAUAUAGUUGGGUCCUGUAAUCAUUGUGAUAUACUUGAUGAAGAGUGCAACAGCUUUUUCUUUAUUGACUCAAUAAAUGUAAGUUUUAUCAACUAUUUUAUGCAACAAACUAAGCCUUGGCAGGUUAUUAAUGUUACAGCUUGGUGCAUUGCACCACUUGGCUCAAUGAAUAUCCGAGAUUUAGUUGAACUACUUCCUAAGGAUGCAAAUGUUAAUUGCAAAUAGGACC
rnacentral:lncRNA from 1 species